AUUGAACGCUGGCGGCAGGCCUAACACAUGCAAGUCGAGCGGAGCGGCGGACGGGUGAGUAAUGACUAGGAAGCUGCCUGGUAGUGGGGGAUAACGUCCGGAAACGGGCGCUAAUACAGCAUACUAUAAGGGGAGCCUAGGUGGGAUUAGCUAGUUGGUGGGGUAAAGGACUACCAAGGCGACGAUCCGUAACUGGGCUGAGAGGAUGAUCAGUCACACUGGAACUGAGACACGGUCCAGACUCCUACGGGAGGCAGCAGUGGGGAAUAUUGGGCAAUGGGCGAAAGCCUGAUCCAGCCAUGCCGCGUGUGUGAAGAAGGUCUUCGGAUUGUAAAGCACUUUAAGUUGGGAGGCGUUACCAACAGAAUAAGCGCCGGCUAACUUCGUGCCAGCAGCCGCGGUAAUUC
rnacentral:rRNA from 1 species